CAUACUGUAGCCCUAACACAAAGAUAUUUGUUGUUGCCACAGGGUGGAGCUCUGCAGCCUGAUGUUAAACAGCAGCUCAAGCUAAAUGUGACUGACUCCAGGUUGAGUUUGACACUUCAAGCUUUCAGACUACUGAACAGUGACCAUGUUUACUGUUGUCUUCAUUGUAUUUUCACUGCUUAAGGAGAGUGUUGAUGCAAAUACAAUAGAAUCUCUCUUACCAGAACAGCAUGUUUCAGUUGGACAAAGUGCUGUUAUCUCUUGUAAAUACAGUGGCAUUGGGCCCAGCUUUCAGUGGUACCGCCAAUAUCCAGGAUCCAGACCAGAGUACCUUAUUUUUAAUGCAGAGACUUCUGUUUCUUCCGAACCCACUUUACGUCUCAAAGCGCAGGCUAAAAAAGAAAUCACAGAAGUGGAACUGGAGAUCUCCUCUACUGAAGUCAAAGACUCUGCUGUAUAUUACUGCGCCCUGAGGCCCACAGUGACAGGAAACCCACCUGCUCUGUACAAAAACUUAAAUACAUUAACACAUCUUGCAUUACACAAAGAUUGUGACUCACCAGCUUUCAAUCAAGCACAAUAAAUCAAUGAUGCAACUGUUCUUAUUUUUCCAAAUGUAAAGAAACAAUAUUAGUUCUUUGAUUUUAAGAAAAGGACAACCCAUUAGCGAAGACAAAGCCUCAGUCGGAGGGUGGAGCAAAUUCACAAGGUUGAAUGUUUGAAAGGCUGAUUCAUUUAGUCAUCCUUCUUUGAUAGUUAUACAAUCACUAUAC